CACGAACGCUGGCGGCAGGCUUAACACAUGCAAGUCGAGCGCCCCGCAAGGGGAGCGGCAGACGGGUGAGUAACGCGUGGGAAUCUACCCAUCUCUACGGAAUAACGCAUGGAAACGUGUGCUAAUACCGUAUACGUCCUUCGGGAGAAAGAUUUAUCGGAGAUGGAUGAGCCCGCGUUGGAUUAGCUAGUUGGUGGGGUAAAGGCCUACCAAGGCGACGAUCCAUAACUGGUCUGAGAGGAUGAUCAGCCACACUGGGACUGAGACACGGCCCAGCCUCCUACGGGAGGCAGCAGUGGGGAAUAUUGGACAAUGGGCGCAAGCCUGAUCCAGACAUGCCGCGUGAGUGAUGAAGGCCCUAGGGUUGUAUAGCUCUUUCACCGGUGAAGAUAAUGACGGUAACCGGAGAAGAAGCCCCGGCUAACUUCGUGCCAGCCGCCGCAGUAAAAC
rnacentral:rRNA from 1 species